rnacentral:rRNA from 1 species
AGCUGAUUUGAGAGGAUGAUCAGCCACAUGGGACUGAGACACGGCCCAAACUCUACGGGAGGCAGCAGUGGGGAAUCUGCACAAUGGAGGAAACUCUGAUGCAGCGAUGCCGCGUGAGUGAAGAAGGCCUUUGGGUUGUAAAGCUCUUUCGUCGGGGAAGAAAAUGACUGUACCCGAAUAAGAAGGUCCGGCUAACUUCGUGCCAGCAGCCGCGGUAAUACGAAGGGACCUAGCGUAGUUCGGAAUUACUGGGCUUAAAGAGUUCGUAGGUGGUUGAAAAAGUUGGUGGUGAAAUCCCAGAGCUUAACUCUGGAACUGCCAUCAAAACUUUUCAGCUAGAGUAUGAUAGAGGAAAGCAGAAUUUCUAGUGUAGAGGUGAAAUUCGUAGAUAUUAGAAAGAAUACCAAUUGCGAAGGCAGCUUUCUGGAUCAUUACUGACACUGAGGAACGAAAGCAUGGGUAGCGAAGAGGAUUAGAUACCCUCGUAGUCCAUGCCGUAAACGAUGUGUGUUAGACGUUGGAAAUUUAUUUUCAGUGUCGCAGGGAAACCGAUAAACACACCGCCUGGGGAGUACGACCGCAAGGUUAAAACUCAAAUGAAUUGACGGGGACCCGCACAAGUAGUGGAGCAUGUGGUUUAAUUCGAAGAUACGCGCAGAACCUUACCAACACUUGACAUGUUCGUCGCGACUCUAAGAGAUUAGAGUUUUCGGUUCGGCCGGACGAAACACAGGUGCUGCAUGGCUGUCGUCAGCUCGUGUCGUGAGAUGUUGGGUUAAGUCCCGCAACGAGCGCAACCCUCACUUUUAGUUGCCAUCAUUAAGUUGGGCACUCUGAAAGAACUGCCAGUGAUAAGCUGGAGGAAGGUGGGGAUGACGUCAAGUCCUCAUGGCCCUUACGUGUUGGGCUACACACGUGCUACAAUGGCAUCUACAACAGGAAGCAAAACGGCAACGUUAAGCAAAUCCCGAAAAGAUGCCUCAGUUCGGAUUGCACUCUGCAACUCGAGUGCAU